CCGGCCUUCUCCUGGCGGAAGCUCUGGCGCUUCAUGGGGCCCGGCUUCCUCAUGUGCAUCGGCUUCCUCGACCCGGGCAACCUCGAGGGGGACCUGCAGGCGGGCGCCGUCGCCGGGUACUAGCUCCUCUGGCUGCUGCUCUGGGUCACGGUCAUGGGUGCGCUCAUGCAGCUGCUCUCCGCACGCCUCGGGGUCGUCACCGGGAAGCACCUCGUCGAGCUCUGCCGGGAGGAGUACCUGCCAUGGGCCACGCGUGCGCUCUGGGUCAUGACGGAGCUCGCGCUCAUCGGUGCCGACAUACAGGAGGUCAUCGGCAGCGCGAUUGCCAUCAAGAUCCUCUCUGGAGGCAUCAUGCCGCUCUGGGACGGUGUCGUCAUCACCGCCUUCGAUCUUGUCCAGGCCGACGUCGUGGCCGCCUUCCGCUCGCUUUGA
rnacentral:rRNA from 1 species